UCCAUCAUCUAACCUUCAAGAACCUAGAGCAAAAACACCAAAGCCAAGUGAGCAAUAGUAAACACAAAUCAAACAUGAAGACCUUCAUCAUAUUUGUCCUCCUUGCUAUGGUGAUGAGCAUCGCCAGUGCCACUAGGCAACUAAGCCCUAGAGGCAAGGAGUUGCAAACACCACAAGAACAAUUCCCCCAACAGCAAUUCCCUCAACCACAACAAAUCCUCCAACAACAAUUCCCCCAACAACAACAAAUCCCCCAGCAACCGCAACAAUUCCCCCAACAGCAAAUCCCACAACAGCAAAUCCCGCAACAACAAUUCCCCCAACCACNNNNNNNNNNNNNNNNNNNNNNNNNNNNNNNNNNNNNNNNNNNNNNNNNNNNNNNNNNNNNNNNNNNNNNNNNNNNNNNNNNNNNNNNNNNNNNNNNNNNNNNNNNNNNNNNNNNNNNNNNNNNNNNNNNNNNNNNNNNNNNNNNNNNNNNNNNNNNNNNNNNNNNNNNNNNNNNNNNNNNNNNNNNNNNNNNNNNNNNNNNNNNNNNNNNNNNNNNNNNNNNNNNNNNNNNNNNNNNNNNNNNNNNNNNNNNNNNNNNNNNNNNNNNNNNNNNNNNNNNNNNNNNNNNNNNNNNNNNNNNNNNNNNNNNNNNNNNNNNNNNNNNNNNNNNNNNNNNNNNNNNNNNNNNNNNNNNNNNNNNNNNNNNNNNNNNNNNNNNNNNNNNNNNNNNNNNNNNNNNNNNNNNNNNNNNNNNNNNNNNNNNNNNNNNNNNNNNNNNNNNNNNNNNNNNNNNNNNNNNNNNNNNNNNNNNNNNNNNNNNNNNNNNNNNNNNNNNNNNNNNNNNNNNNNNNNNNNNNNNNNNNNNNNNNNNNNNNNNNNNNNNNNNNNNNNNNNNNNNNNNNNNNNNNNNNNNNNNNNNNNNNNNNNNNNNNNNNNNNNNNNNNNNNNNNNNNNNNAACAACAAUUCCCCCAACAACAAUUCCCCCAGCAACCACAACAACAAUUCCCCCAACAACAAUUUCCCAUACCAUACCCACCCCAACAACAAUCACAAGAAGCUUCCCCAUACCAACAAUACCACAACAACACCUAUCUGGGAACGACGUUAUAAGUAUCAGUGGCCGAUGAAAUAAAGAGAUGUACUACUAGACAGGUGAAUCAUCGUUGUUAGUCAAUGGAGCAUAAUGUAACGGGUAUAAAUAAAAUGAUGUGCACCAUCAUGUGUAACCCCGACAUGUACUAGUUCAAACAUGGGAAUAAAAGACAAAUAAGUUCUUUUCUGAAGCACAUUGCUGGCAAUCGUUAUAUUCAUGCCAUAUUUCGAUUUCCAUCGGUAACUCCAAUCUCAAUGUUAUGGUCUAUCUACUUAUUUAUGAAGUGUAGUAUUAUGAACAUAACAUAAUUAACAUGUCUGAAAAUUGGCUCAAAUUGAAGUACUACUAAUUCAAGAGUAAGGAGUAAUUACAAUUUAACAUUUCAAUGGAGAGCUCUAAUUGUAGACUGCGUUGUUAAUUCCCCGAAGAGGAAAGGAUGAUGUAGUAUAGUAGAGAUAAGUGUUUCCCUCAGCUAAGAACCAAGGUUAUCAAUCCAGUAGGAGAACCGCACAAAACCUCGUUAGCAGCACCUGCACACACAAAAGCAAACACUUGCACCGAACGCAAAUAAGAGGGUUGUCAAUCCUCUUAGCGAUUAUUUGCAAGGAUUAGUUCUGACAGUGAUACAUAGAUAAAAUAAAUUACUAAAUAAAAUAAAAAUAAAUAAAUUGCAGCAAUGUAUUUUUGUGCUUUUAUAUAUGAUAAAAGUAGACCCGGGGGGGGCAUAGUUUUCACUAGAGGAUUCUCUCUUGAUCAUAAAACAUAUGGUGGGUAAACACAUUACUGUUGGGCAAGCUAUUAUAUACUAAAAGGAAAAUACUGGUCCAAAAUAGAGAAUAGGCUAGAAAAUCUGGCGUUAAUUAGAAAAUAUGAACCCUUGAUCCGUUUAAUUUUAAAAAUUAUAAAUCUAUGACCGUUCAAUAUACGUAACAAGGUCGGGCGUGGAUAACUUCCCGCGUAACGUGACACAUGUAAGAAACACAAACAUGAGUCCAGUUAAGGCAAACACGUAGAUGUGUUGAAGUGGGAAUGAAUAGAAUUGCUACGUCCGAAUAUGCAAGAGAUAGAAAAGAUGAAGAAAACUAAAGAACAUGUCGUGUUCAGAUUGGACUAAACGUAUGUGCGUAUACAACCACAACCACAAUCCGAAAGAUCCAGCCAUUAAUCCCGUGGGUCCAUCCAAAACAAAAGGUGGAUAUCCAUCUAAUUGCCCCACGUCCAUGGAACAUACUUAUUAGAGUCCACAAACAGUAGCCGCUGGUCUCUUUUACGUGAUCCUCCUUGCACUGUUAGGACUUUGCCGUCGGACAUCCUUAAGUUCUUGUGAAGUUCACAUCUAAAAAUACUAUCAUAGUAAAAAAAUCCAUUUCAUACUCCAAGAAAGAUAUCACCAUCCCAAAGUUUCAAUUGCAAUCUAAGUUUUGCCACAACUGGGUAUUUAAAACUUAUUUUACCACAGCUCGGCAAUUUCAGCCACUAAGGUUUUUGUGGCAGAUGAAGCAUCUUCCCAUUGGAAACUCCCAACUGUAAAAAGACUAGCAAAUUAGCAAUCAUUGGCAAAUCAGCAAUCUUAUAGCGGCAGCAGCUCCCAUCAAUCAGGUAACUCAUCUUCCAAAAAUCAGAGACAAUAAGCAACCAUACACAUCAUGCACAUAUGAUAUUAACAUAAUUACAUAUGUGAUUUCUGUGUUGAAUUUCGUACAACAUUACCAUGAAGAGAAGCGCAUCCACAUGGCAAGUAAUUUCCAAAAGCCGCCAAAAAGGUGAAAAGCAAUCAAAUAUGCAAUCCAACAAGUUAAUUAUUAAGCUAUAGACCAUGCAUGUUUCAGUGGUGCAUACAAGAUCAGUAGAACAAAUUCCUAGCCGUUACGACAUUCAUCAGGGAGGCGAGGACUAUGAAGCGACGGGUUGCGAGCUGGAGGGAAUGGCGGCGCACCCCGUGUCUCAGCCGAGAGAGGAGAGGCCGGGGAUAGAAUUAAGAGAGACACGAGUGAUGUCAGAUGAUAGGCUAGGGAUCGUUGGGCGUUCUCACAUAUUGCGUGGAGGAGGUUAGCUAAAUGGGCCAGCACAAAGGCCCAGUCAACCGCAGGUGGCAGAGUUUUCUCCCAGUGCAGCAGCCCUUUAGGACAGUUGAGCCAAGAAAUAUAGUUACAAAAUUAGGAAUUCAUCCAACAGUCAGAAAUGAUCUAUACAAGUGAUCUGAUAGUUACAAAUGUUGAAUGCUUGAGAGAGCUGGGAUAAGGCUAAGUUUUACUGUCCUAAAUGUAUUAGAUAUGUAGAAUCUGACAGUUAUUAAAGUUUAAUUGUCCUUCAGAAAAAACUAUGGCUAAUCACCACUACGCUAAUUACUUUUUACAAUUGUUGUACAUGAAUGGGGGUUAGGCAAGCGUAACACUGCUGAUGAGGGUCCCAAACCCGAUAAAGGUGGAGGGUGCAUAAUCAAAUUAACAUCUAACACUAACAUGCAAUACCUUUUAAGUUCAUAUAUUGAUUCAAUCGCAAAAGGGAAAAAUGAAACAAAAGUAGGCAGCGGGACCUGGAAGUCAACAGAGGAAACAGAAGGGUAUGCUCAUCGUGUGGAAUCGUUUGUGGGGGGCGAGCUGAGUAAACAGAGGAAGGUGAUCGAACGACGUCUCAGGUUUAUUUGUUUACUGAACAGACAGACAUGUGUAAGUUUUUUUUCCCUUUGAGGGGAAAGACGUGUGUAACUAGGGAGGGAUGAUUUUGCACGUUCUGUAUUUUUUUCCACCAGAAAACAGAUACUACUUUAACAAAUAAAUCCUACACUAAAUAUUUUAUAUGCUGCAAAUUAUAGGCCACAUACGCAUGAGCCUAAAUUAUAGGCGACUAUUUCAUAGGGUGAAAGUAAACAAAAUAGAAAAUCUUAUAGGCGACAUGAGCAUGAACCUAAAUUAUAUAUUUUAUAUGCUGCAAAUUAUUUUAAAAACAUGUGAAAAUAUAGUGCAUGAUCAUCAGACCAAAAACUCUAGCCUGUACAAAACACUCAUAUUUAGACGUAUAUUUCAUAUGGAGCUGCCAAUUCAUAUCAAUCCGGCACUACAACAGUAACACUAUCGUGCAGCCGCUUAAGUCAAAUCUAAAGUUAAAGCUAAUCAACACAAAAUAUCCAAUGUAAAAGGAAUUACUUAUACUAAAAAUAUAAAAUAUACCUAAGAGUGCGAAAGAUGACGAAUAUUUACUAUAAGAGUGCUAGCCCUCGCAUUUGCGAGGGCCACCUUGCUAGUUGAUAAAAAACAAAUAAUUAUGAUGGAUUCAUGGCAAUGAUCAUGUAUAUAGGCAUCACGUUCGAGACAAGUAGACCGACUCCCGUCUGCAUCUACUACUAUUACUCCACCCAUCGACCGCUAUCCAGCAUGCAUCCAGAGUAUUAGGUAUAAAACAGAGUGACGCCUUAAGUACGAUGACAUGAUAUAGAUAAAGUAAAUUCAAGAAAUAUGAUUAAACCCCAUCUUUUUAUCCUUAAUUGUCAGCCCAUUGGCUGUUAUUUUCCCCGAUCUGACCAUCCGUGACGCUCCUGUUGUUCGCAACGCUACCGCUACGACUGCGGGAGCAUGUCAUUUUCGUUAUACAUGUAACCCAAAAAUAUCUCUAACAUUAAUGACAACAAUACAAAUACGUGUUAUGUCCCUUUUUGUCACUGGGAUUGAGCAAUGCAAGAUUGAAUCCAUCACAAAGCACCUCUCCCCAUUGCAAGAUAAACCAAUCUAGUUGGCCAAACCAAAUCGAUAGAUCAGGGAGAAAUAUAAAGCUAAAAUAAUCACGCAUAAAAGAGCUCAGAGAAGACUCAAAUAUUUCUCAUGAAUCAUAUGAUCAUAAACUCACGAUUCAUUGGAUCCCAACAAACACACCGGAAAAGAAGAUUACAUCGGAUAGAAAUCCAAGAACAUCGGGGAUAACUUUGUAUUGAAUAUCAAAGAGAGAGAAGAAGCCAUUUAGCUACUGGCUAUGGACCCAUAGGUGUGUGGUAAAAUACUCACACAUCAUCGGAAGGGCAGCAUGGUUUAUGUGGAAGCCCUUCGUGAUCGAUUCCCCCUCCGGCAGAGUACUGGAAAAGGCCUCCCGACGGGAUCGCGGAAAAACAGAGGCUUGCGGCGGAGAAAAAGUUUUCUCAUCUAUCUCUCUGGUGGUUAUGGAAUAUUUGUGAUUUAUAGUGGAAGAAUUAGGUCAGGAGGUGCCACGAGGGGGCCAUAAGCCUAGGGGCGCGGUGAUACGUCCAUUUUGCAUCAUGUUUUAUUACAGUUAUUUAUUAAGUUUUGAGCUAAUAUAACACUUCAUGGAGUAUUUCUAAUGCAUUUUCUCUCUUAAUAUGCAAGGUUUACACAAAGAGGGAGAAUACCGGCAGCUGGAUUUCAGGGCCUGAAAAAGCUACAUCAGAGAUCCCUAUUCUGCACAUCUCCAAAUGGGCUGAAAAUUCACGAAGAUUUAUUUUAGAAUAUAAAAAAAUACUGGGCCAAAGAUCCACGGGAGGAGGCCACCCAGGUGCCCACACAGCAAUAGGGCGCGCCCCACCCCUAGGGCGCGCCCUGAUGCUGUAUGAGGCCCCUGGCCCAAUUCAGGCCCCCUCCUUCUGGUAUAUAAGUCAUUUUACCAUAAAAUAUUUAUGGGGAGACUUUCAGGACGAGGCGCCGCUGCCACGAGGCGGAACUAGAGCAGGAGAAAUUUGGCUCUCCGGCGUGCAGAUUCCGCCGGGGAUACUUCCCUCCGGGUGGUGGAAAUCGAAGCUUACGUCAUCACUAACAACCCUCUCAUCGUGGGAGGACCAAUCUUCAUCAUCAUAAACCACAACACCAUCUCAUCUCUAUCCCUAGUUCAUAUCUUGUAUUCGAUCUCUGUGUCAAAACAUUAGAUUGGUACUUGUGUUUGACUAGUAGUGUUGAUUACUUAUCGUAGUUGAUGCUAGUGGAUUUGUUUGGUGAAUUACCAAAUGUUCUGAUCGUGCAUCCAAAUUAUAUUCUCUCUGAUCAUGAACAUGAUGAUGAUGUGUGAGUAGUUACUUUUAUUCUUGAGGACAUGGGAGAAGUCUUGUCAUUAGUAAUCAUGUGAUUCCGGUAUUCGUUCAAUAUUUUGAUGAUAUGUAUGUUGUGAUUCUCUUAGUGGUGUCAUAUGAACGUCGACUACAUGACACUUCACCAUUGAUGGGCCUAAGGGAACUCAUUGUGGAGUAGUAAUUAGAUGAUGGGUUGCUAGAGUGACAGAAGCUUAAACCCCAGUUUAUGCACUAUUCCGUAAGGGGCUGAUUUGGAUCCACUAGUUUAAUGCUAUGGUUAGACUUUGUCUUAAUUCUUUUUUCUUAGUUGCGGAUGUCGGUGUCAAAACCGACAGAUCUCGGGUAGGGGGUCCCAAGCUGUGGGUCUAGGAUCAAUAGGUAACAGUGACGAUGAACACGGUGUUUUACCCAGGUUCGGGCCCUCUGGAUGGAGGUAAAACCCUAUGUCCUGCUCUUGUUUGUAUUGAUGAAGUAUCAAGGUACAGAGUUGAUCUACCUCGAGAUCAUAUGUUCUGGUCUAAACCCUAGGGGUAUGAUCAGUAAUGUCAUAAUGAUGAUAAUAAUCUAUCGACUAGCCUGGCCUCGGCUUAUAUAAUGUACCAGAGGCCUAGGAUAACAAGACACCUAGUUAGCUAUGUUGGUGGAGAGGAGUCCUUGUCUUGGUCACCAAGUCUUGUGGAAUCUUUCCUGUAUAUGUCAUCGGUUGUCCGAACUGGCCCAUUAGUGAGGUCCUCGGUCCGACCCACUGGUCGGGAGACAACGUGGUGAGUACCCCCUAGUCCAGGACACCGUCAGCGGAUGCUUGCGAGAGGGGGUAAUCAUAAGUGGGAGGCUUGUUCAAGUAAGAACAGCACCCAAGCACCGGUCCACCCACAUAUCAAAUCAUCAAAGUAGCGAAAGCGAAUCGAAUGAACAUGAUGAAAGUGACUAGAUGAAAUUCCCGUGUGUCCUCAAGAACGCUUUUCUCAUUAUAAGUACUAGUUCUGGCCUGUCCUUUGCACUAAAAAGGAUUGGGAUAUCUUGCUGCACUUUAUUUACAUUUGUCACUUGCUACUCGUUACCAAUUAUCUUGCUAUCAGACUACUCGCUACCGCUUGUUUCAGUGUUUGCAAAAAUAUCGUUAUUGAAAACCGCAAGUCAUUUCCUUUUUCUUCUCGUUGGGUUCGACACUCUUACUUAUCGAAAGGACUAUGAUUGAUCCCCUAUACUUGUGGGUCAUCACGCGGCCACCCACCUGGGGCGCUCCGUCCCUAGCUUAUCACUCCCUCGAGACUCCUCGGGUCUUCCCCGAAGCUUCCAGGGUCUCUUUUGGUCCAGAAAACUUAAUCCAAUGUUUUUCUGUGUUUGUACCUUUUUUAUAAUGAUAUUAUAAAAUGAUAAAAACAAGCAAAAAAUAACAACUGGCACUAGGCACUACGUUAAUAGGUUAGUCCCAAAAAAUGAUACAAAAAUAGCAAAAAGUUGCAUAUAAAACAUCCAAGAAUGAUAAUAUAAUGGCACGAAACAAUAAAACAUUACAGAUAGGAGGCGUAUCAAGCAUCCCCAAGCUUAUUUCUUGCUCGUCCUCGAGUAGGUAAAUGAUAAAAACAAAAUUUUUGAUGUGGAAUGCUACCUAACAUGUUUCAUCAUGUAAUCUCUCUUACGGUAUGAAUAAUAAGAUCCGAAUGAUUCAAAGCAAUAGUCUAUAAUUUGAUAUAAAGACAUCAAUACUCAGGCAUACUAACAAACAAUCAUGCCUUUCAAAAUAACGAUGCUAACCCAAGUUAUCCCUACAAAAUCAUAUAAUCCUAUCAUGCUCCAUCUUCUUAACACAAAGUAUUUAUGAUGCACUACCCCAAUGACAAUCCAGGCAAUUGGUUCAUACUUCUUAACGUGCUUCAGCUUCAACCCCCGCGCAAUACAUGAUGGCAAGCCAAGGACAUAACACUAUGGAUGGAAUAGAACAUGAUGAUAGAGAUCAAUAAGGGGAAAUCCAAAAUAAGAAGAUAGUCUCACAUCAAUGCGGCUAACAAACGGGCUAUAGAGAUGCCCAAAAAUUGAUGUCAAUGCAAGGAGUAGGGAUUCCCAUGCAACGGAUGCACUAAGAAGGCACCCAAGGUAAUAUCCAAGGAGACUCCAGCGUCGAAGCUUGGGGAUGCCCCGGAAGGCAUCCCCUCUUAAUUCUAAUGACUAUCAGUAACGCACUUGAGGCAACAUUUUUACUCAUCACAUGAUAUGAGUUUUUCUUGGAGCGUCUUGUAUGAUAUGAGUCUUUGCUUUGUUUAUUUUUAGUUUAUCACAAUCAUCACCUCUGAACGCAUUUGCUUGAGAUAGCUUCACGUCAUCAUGAUUUACUUGAAUUGCCCUUUGUGCUUCACUUAAAUUUGUUGAGCUAGGUGGUUGCUCUAGUGCUUCAUUUAUAUCUUUUUUAACACGGUGGUGCUUUUGUUUUGAAGAAACUUGUUCUCAUGCUUCACUUAUAUCUUUUUGAGAAUGCUAGAAAUUUUAUAAAAAUAUUAGUCUCAUGCUUCACUUAUAUCUUUUUGAGAGUUCGAAAUUAGUUAUGGUAAAAUGUACAAGCUAUAAGCUUGGUCUCCAUAUGAUGAAUAUUCAAGAAGGAUAAUGAUAACUAGUAUAAAAAAUUUAUGGGACAUGAAUAACUUGAUUCUUUGCAACAAUUUUGAGAUAUGUAGAUGAUAAUACGUGAGUUAUGUUCAUGAAUAAUUAUACUCUAGUAUGAAUAUUGAUGUUAAGGUUUAUGAUUCCCUAUGCAAGCACGUAAAGUCAAUAGUUAUGCAAUGAAGUUACAUCCUACUUGUGGUGCAUUAUUCGGUGUUGGUUAUGUUUUAUGUAUGCAUGUGCAUCAUUACAGUUUCUUAGUUGGUCGCUUCUCAACCAUUUUGCUAGCCUCCAUUCGUACUAAGCGGGAAUACUGCUUGUGCAUCCAUUACCUUAAACUUGUUUUGCCAAUUGUGUCCAUCAUACCUACAUAUAUACGGUAUUUCAUUGCCGUCCCAAGUAAAUUUGCAUGUGCCAUCUCUAAUAAUUUUCAAAAUAAACUUCUCUUUUGUGUGCCUGUGUUGCUCAUGAAGUGAUAAGGGGUGGACGAUGAAUUUCGUGUUGUAUAUGUCAUUUUCAUGAUGAGUGUUUAUUCACUUGUCAUUGCACGAGAGUGUGGCGGUAAUAAAAGGGAUGCCCAGUCCCAAAAAUAAAUUGAAUUUCCUGGAAUGUGUUGUUAUGGAGGGCACCCGUGAAUACGGCUAGACAUGGAUUGUGAAAGGAAAGGUGGAAAAACUAACUCCUUCGGAUGUGAAUGGAAAAAAGGGACAAAAGUCUCAAAACCAUGGAACGAUGACAGGGAGCAAACAAUUUCUUUUCAGUUUGGGAGCCGCCUUUGAUGUAUAUAACUUGGAUGGUAUCGAAAGCCUUGAGUCGUUGUCGUUGACGAGAAAAGCAGGCCUCCCAAAAUAAUUUUUUAUCUCUUUUUAAAACUUGAGGUCUGGCACCACUGUAAAUCAAUGCUUCCCUCUGCGAAGGUCGUUCUAUUUAUUUUUAUGUUGAGUCUCAUCCUUCUCAUUAAAAAACCAACUAGGGGGUCAUGUGAUCAUGUGUGCGCAUGGAGUAUGAUUGACAUUCGACUGUGUUUCAUAAAUGGAUCAAUGGUUGAGCAUAAUGGGCUAGGGAUAAUUUUCUUUAGCAUUGUUAUUUUGAAAGGCAUGGUUGCGUGUUAGCAUUGGAGGGGGUAUAUAUAGCCACCUCAUCGGUCCCGGUUUGUGGCUGGAACCGGGACUAAAGGCCACCCUUCUGUCCUGGUUCUAGGCACGAACCGGGACCAAUGGCUGUGGGCUAGGAACGAGGACCAUUGGUCCCAUUCGUGCCUAGAACCGGGACAAAUGGGUACACACGAACCGGGACAAAUGCCUGCCGAGGACCGGCCGGCCCCCUGGGCGCACGAACCGGGACGUAUGACCCCCAUGGGUCCCGGUUCGUGACUGAACCGGGACUAAUGGGCUGGCCAGGCCCCAACCAAAGCCCUGUUUUCUACUAGUGAGGGGCGACGCUCUGCGGAGUUCUCCCUCUUGGGGGCGUUGUCGUGGAGCUUAGGUGUGCUAGGUCGUAGCGUGAGCAUGUUUUGUUCUUCUGGUACUUGUUGCUGGUAGCAUAGAAGCAUGCGUUUUGCAUGUGCCGGAUAUCUCAGGAUCGACUUUGUAAGGGCUACCAAACCAUAUUGUAUCGUUUGACCAUGUACAGCUUUGGAUGUUGCUUUGUUUAUAAAGCAGGGCAAAAUCCUAUUUCGAGAAUAAAGAAAACAACAGCAACAGCAAACAGGUCAACAACUUCAGAAUAGUUUUUCUUUUAAAAUUUCACUUGCUUAAUUAACUACAUGCAUAGGACUUUCUACAGUGUUUUAGAGAAGGACAACUAUGAUUUGCUAGCUAGUUAGGUAUUUCAACAGAACAUUAACAGCAAGGAGAAGGAGAAGAACUGUUAACAACCAGGCAGGCAGGUGGAGAGUGAGUGUGUGAGAGUGAGGUCUCUCUGGCUUUUUCCUGUAUGGCUACUCCUACUUCCUUCGCUGACAAAGACCUGUUCUGAAUCCGUAAUACUGAUUCAUAGUAAUGAUGGUGGAUCGACUAUACCUUGACUUAUCCAUGUACAACAAAAAUUACUACGUACAUGAUUAAAAAUCCAAGGGUCAAAUCCUGAUCAAUUGAUCCAGCAAAUUCUUCAUGAAUCUAGCAUGACAUCAAGUGUGAUUAAUAGGAGUUUCAAUUAUAAUUAGCCUCCGAGAAGCUACAUGGAGGAGGAUGUAGUCGUGUUUUGUGGCCUUGUCAGAAACUUCGCUUUCCAUCAAUCUGAAAACAAGUGGUAGAGGGCAAAAGAAUGAAAAAAAACAUGUGUAGAGGAUACGCAACACAUAAAGGCCACACACACAAAAACAGCGGUAUGGUAGCUGGUCCAUGACAUUGACAAGUCAAUUGAUUUGCUGCAACCAUAUAUAUGUACGAAUAAUAUCGCCAAGGAUAAGAGAAGGAAAAAAUAUAAAUAUACCGAUAGGCUCUUAUUUAGUUCCUGGAUGCAUGUUGCAUGAGCCAAGUGUAUCGGCAGUAUGGCUUGUGUUUGCUGCAUGAUGGCGGCAGGUUCCCAUUCAGUUAGGCAUGCUAAGUCCUAAAUUCAUUUAUUCACGUAUCGGGUAGAAGGAGAACAAAUUUCAUUUCUUUUCUGUAGGUUCCUUGCUUAAAAGAAAAUAGAAAAUAUACACUUAUAUAAUUACGAGAAAAAAUCAACUGUAUGUCGCUCAGUCUUCCCUUUUUGUUCCGUAUCAGUAUCAACAAUCAUAGUACUAAUAGCUUUCUAUACUGGCGCUAGUAAAUUCAAUAAAAGAAACAUGGAGACUAUCUGAACAAUUUGAAACAAUAUAGACAAACUGAGAUCAACUAACAACAGAAAUCCAAAAGAAAUGUUCAUGUCUACGUGGAGUGAAUCGAUCAAGCCGUGCAAAGCCCUAACAAUUUGUUUUGUAUUAAUAACUCAUAUGAUAAUACAACUCCUCCAUAUGAAAAGGUAAUAUGAUGAUUCAUGAAUGCUUAUCCAUCUUAUAAAUAUAUUGUGCACAAAAUAUCGAGUUAGUUCAGAGAAAACGGUGUCUAGAACAAUCUUCACAUUAAUAGUGUGAUCUAUCUCAAUGACUCACACAAGAUUACAAAGUUUGUUCCCUUAAGUAUGCCAAUCUGGAUACGCCUAACAAUAUGUAGAACAUGACAAACUAAAUCAGAACAAGGGACAAAAUCUAGAUCAAUGUUUGAAGUGUAAAGUGAAUACGAUGAGUCAUUUGUCGUUAUCAAGCAUUCCAUACACCUAGAUGAUAUGUGCAAGAACAAUCAACUAUGACGAACAAUCCAAAAUCACGAUAGUAAGUAGUACCAUAAUACACAACAUACCAAAUUAUUGUAAAUGAUAAGCUUAAGAGCACUUUUUCAAGAAGCAAGUGUGAAGAUUACAAACUUAGUUCCCUUAAGUUAUGCCAAUCUGGAUACACCUAACAACAUGUAGAACAUCACAAACUAAAUCGAAAGACGGACAAAAUCUAGAUCAAUGUUUGAAGUGUAAAGUGAAUACGAUGAGUCAUUAGUCGUGAUCAAGCAUUCGAUACAGCCAGAUGAUAUUUGCAAGAACACAACAUACCAAAUUAUUAGGUCGAUAAUCUUAAGUGCACUUUUUCAAGAAAAGAGUGGGAAGAUGAAAACAAAAUAUGUCAUGCCUGCUAUAAAUACGACUACACCAUGUGGGUCUCUUCCAUCAUCUAACCUUCAAGCACCUAGAGUAAAAACACCAAAGCCAAGUGAGCAAUAGUAAACACAAAUCAAACAUGAAGACCUUCAUCAUAUUUGUCCUCCUUGCUAUGGUGAUGAGCAUCGCCAGUGCCACUAGGCAACUAAGCCCUAGAGGCAAGGAGUUGCAAACACCACAAGAACAAUUCCCCCAACAGCAAUUCCCUCAACCACAACAAAUCCUCCAACAACAAUUCCCCCAACGACAACAAAUCCCCCAGCAACCGCAACAAUUCCCCCAACAGCAAUUCCCGCAACAGCAAAUCCCACAACAGCAAAUCCCGCAACAACAAUUCCCCCAACCACANNN
rnacentral:lncRNA from 1 species